GGAGUCUGGGCCGUAUCUCAGUCCCAAUGUGGCCGUUCAACCUCUCAGUCCGGCUACUGAUCGUCGCCUUGGUGGGCCGUUACCCCGCCAACAAGCUAAUCAGAUAUGAGCCCAUCUUUCAGCGGAUUGCUCCUUUGGUAUCCAGGUGAUGCCACCCAAAUACAUUAUGCGGUAUUAGCAGUCGUUUCCAACUGUUGUCCCCCUCUGAAAGGCAGGUUGCUCAUACAUUACUCACCCGUCCGCCACUCGUCAUCAAAAGUAUUGCUACUUCCAUGUUACCGUUCGACUUGCAUGUAUUAGGCCUGCCGCCAGCGUUCAAU
rnacentral:rRNA from 1 species